GACGUCGGGUGGCACAGCCGUCGGGUGGCACGGGCAGAUCUCUAAAUACCUGUGACCAGGGGCCCGCGGGGCAGCGAUAAGGAGCUCUGCGCUCUGAGGCACCACACGGAGCCACCACGGUCCCAGGAGACACAGCAGCGACCUCGAGCAGGACCAUCCCAGAACCCGUAAGGUACACUGAGGUUCCUAAAGGUUUUUAUCUUGGGCUCAUCAUUUCUUUGGACAGUAAGUAGGGAUAUGUUAUUUUUCCUUCCUGGCAGUAGGACUCUGUUGUAGAUGCCCUGUGACACUUGCUUUUAAUCUGUUGACUGUGUGAAAGUGCCUGUCUGUGUUACAAAAGAAUUCCUGGAGGUGUUGUGGACAUGGGAGGGGACAGCCUGACCUGCUUCACCUAAGGGGGGUGAAUUCAUUGUCCUGCUCACCCUUAGAAAA